UAUGUGAUCGUCUCUCGCAUAUCAAUAAGCGGAGGAAAAGAAACUAACAAGGAUUCCCCUAGUAACGGCGAGUGAAGCGGGAAGAGCUCAAAUUUGAAAUCUUAAAGGGUUUCCCUUUACGAAUUGUAGUUUAAAGAAGUGUUUUCUGUUGAGGUUUUGGUAAAAGUUCUUUGGAAUAGGACAUCAUAGAGGGUGAGAAUCCCGUAUUUGACCUUUACUUUCAACUUUGUGAUACACUUUCAAAGAGUCGGAUUGUUUGGGAAUGCAGUCCAAAAUGGGUGGUAAAUUUCAUCUAAAGCUAAAUAUUGGCGAGAGACCGAUAGCGAACAAGUACCGUGAGGGAAAGAUGAAAAGAACUUUGAAAAGAGAGUUAAACAGUACGUGAAAUUGUCAAAAGGGAAGCGUUUGACACCAGUGUUGUUUUUCUGAAAAUCAAUUAAAGAACUGUUUAUGCUAAGCUGUUUAGACUCUAUCAGCUAAUCUGUUUAGUUUUGAGCUUUUCUUUAAUGCACUUUUCAGUUAACAAGUCAACAUCAAUUUCUUUUGCUGUAAAAAAGCUUGAGGAAGGUGGCUUGAGAUUCGUCUUAAGUGUUUAUAGCCUCUUGCCUAUGCAGUCGGAGAGAUUGAGGUCUGCAGCGUAGAUCCUUCGGGGCUAAGUGCAUUUGUGCUAAGUUAUAGCAUUUUAUAGACAACUUGUUGACUAUGAUUUGUCUUGUAGCUUACUCGCUUAUGUUAUUUUACCUACGCUUAGGAUGUUGAUCUGUAGUGCGUGCGC
rnacentral:rRNA from 1 species